UGGGGAAUUUUGGACAAUGGGCGAAAGCCUGAUCCAGCAAUGCCGCGUGUGUGAAGAAGGCCUUCGGGUUGUAAAGCACUUUUGUCCGGAAAGAAAUCCUCUGGGUUAAUACCUCGGGGGGAUGACGGUACCGGAAGAAUAAGCACCGGCUAACUACGUGCCAGCAGCCGCGGUAAUACGUAGGGUGCAAGCGUUAAUCGGAAUUACUGGGCGUAAAGCGUGCGCAGGCGGUUUUGUAAGACGGAUGUGAAAUCCCCGGGCUUAACCUGGGAACUGCAUUCGUGACUGCAAGGCUAGAGUAUGGCAGAGGGGGGUAGAAUUCCACGUGUAGCAGUGAAACGCGUAGAGAUGUGGAGGAAUACCGAUGGCGAAGGCAGCCCCCUGGGCCAAUACUGACGCUCAUGCACGAAAGCGUGGGGAGCAAACAGGAUUAGAUACCCUGGUAGUCCACGCCCUAAACGAUGUCAACUAGUUGUUGGGGAUUCAUUUCCUUAGUAACGUAGCUAACGCGUGAAGUUGACCGCCUGGGGAGUACGGUCGCAAGAUU
rnacentral:rRNA from 1 species